rnacentral:rRNA from 1 species
CAGUAGCCGCGGGAAUACGUAGGGUGCAAGCGUUAUCCGGAAUUAUUGGGCGUAAAGAGCUCGUAGGCGGUCUGUCGCGUCUGCUGUGAAAUCUGGGGGCUCAACCCCCAGCCUGCAGUGGGUACGGGCAGACUAGAGUGCGGUAGGGGAGAUUGGAAUUCCUGGUGUAGCGGUGGAAUGCGCAGAUAUCAGGAGGAACACCGAUGGCGAAGGCAGAUCUCUGGGCCGUAACUGACGCUGAGGAGCGAAAGCAUGGGGAGCGAACAGGAUUAGAUACCCCAGUAGUCCCUGUCUCUUAUAC